UUUGGUAGUAUUUCAAUUUUUAUUUUUUUUCUACAAAUCGGAAUGAUAUGAAAUUUGGAGCGUGUGUUCAUAAAAAAUAGAAGAAUCUAAUAAAAAUAUAAAAAAAUAAUUCAAAAAUAUAAAUUGAUCAAAAUACCAUUGAAAAAUUAUAGGGGUAUUUUGAUCAAUUUUUAUUUUGUGAAAUAUGUUUUCAUAUUUUUUUUAGGUGCGCCUCACUAAGAUGUACAUACGCUUCAAAUUUCAAAUCAUUCCAAUUUAUAGAAAAAAAUGAAAAAUGAAACACUACCAGACAAUCAUGACUAUGUGAUGAACUUUGGACAUGAAUGAAUAACGUUGGGGAAGAGAGAG
rnacentral:lncRNA from 1 species